AGGUUAAGGGCGAGUACGCCCGCAGCCGAAGCGAAAGCGAGUCCGAAGAGGGCGAUUACAGUCAGCGGAGGUGGACGCGAAACCAAGUGAUCUACCCAUGGGCAGGAUGAAGGACGGGUGACUCCGUCUGGAGGUCCGAACCGGUAAGCGUUGAAAAGCUUUCGGAUGACCUGUGGGUAGGAGUGAAAGGCCAAUCAAACUUGGAGAUAGCUCGUACUCCCCGAAAUGUAUUUAGGUGCAGCCUCGGGCGAGAGUGGCGGAGGUAGAGCGACCGAUAGGAUGCGAGGGCUUCACCGCCUAUCAAGUCCUGCCGAACUCCGAAUGCCGCCCACUCGAUGUCCGGGAGUAAGGGCGCGGGUGCUAAGGUCCGCGUCCGAGAGAGGAACAACUCAGACCACCGUCUAAGGCCCCCAAAUCCGGGCCAAGUUGAAGACAAUAACGAAGUGCGGCCGCAGAGACAGCCAGGAUGUUGGCUUGGAAGCAGCCAUUCAUUUAAAGAGUGCGUAACAGCUCACCGGUCGAGCGGCCGCGCAUGGAUAAUAAUCGGGCAUAAGUCCGGUGCCGAAGACGUGGAAUCACACCUUGCGUGUGGUUGGUAGGGGAGCAUUCCAUACCGUGUUGAAUGCCAGCCUUGAGGCUGACUGGAGCGUAUGGAAAAGCAAAUGUAGGUAUAAGUAACGAUAAAGGGGGCGGAAAACCCCCUCGCCGUAAGACCAAGGUUUCCUGAUCAACGCUAAUCGGAUCAGGGUCAGUCGGGACCUAAGCCGCACCCGCGAGGGGCAGGCGAUGGAAGAAGCGGUUAAUAUUCCGCUACCGGCACUGGCUGCGACGGAGAGACGGAGAAGUGACACGCCCGCGCGCUGACGGAAUAGCGCGUUGAAGGGUGUAGGCGCGGAGGGGCGCAGGCAAAUCCACGCCCCGAGCCGAGACCCGACAGUACAGCGAGCCCCCGGGCGAGCUGACAGCGGCGGUAACCAUGCUCCCUAGAAAAUCUUCUAAGCCCCAGGCCAGAGCCGCCCGUACCGUAAACCGACACAGGUGGUCGGGUAGAAUAUACCAAGGCGCUCGAGUGAUUCACGGUUAAGGAACUAGGCAAACUGACCCCGUAACUUCGGGAUAAGGGGUCCCGUCCUCCGGGACGGGCGCAGAGAAUAGGUCCAGGCAACUGUUUAACAAAAACACAGGGCUGUGCGAAAUUGAAAGAUGAUGUAUACAGCCUGACACCUGCCCGGUGCCGGAAGGUUAAGAGGAGAGGUCAUCGCGAGAGAAGCCUUGAAUUGAAGCCCCGGUAAACGGCGGCCGUAACUAUAACGGUCCUAAGGUAGCGAAAUUCCUUGUCGGGUAAGUUCCGACCUGCACGAAUGGUGUAAUGAUCCGGACACUGUCUCAACCGUGAGCUCGGUGAAAUUGUAGUAUCGGUGAAGAUGCCGAUUACCCGCAACGGGACGAAAAGACCCCGUGAACCUUUACUACAGCUUAGCAUUGCGACCGGGUGCGCGAUGUGUAGGAUAGCCAGGAGGCUUUGAAGUGGGGGCGCCAGUCCCCGUGGAGCCGCUGUUGAAAUACUGGCCUUCUCGCAUCUGGUUCCUAACGCGCUGAUUGCGCGGACACUGCUUGGCGGGUAGUUUGACUGGGGUGGUCGCCUCCAAAAGAGUAACGGAGGCUUCUAAAGGUGCCCUCAGGACGAUUGGUAACCGUCCGUAGAGUGUAAUGGCAUAAGGGCGCUUGACUGGGAGACAGACAAGUCGAUCAGGUAGGAAACUAGAGCAUAGUGAUCCGGUGGUUCCGCAUGGAAGGGCCAUCGCUCAAAGGAUAAAAGGUACUCCGGGGAUAACAGGCUGAUC
rnacentral:rRNA from 1 species